rnacentral:tRNA from 1 species
GGAGAGGUGUCCGAGUGGUUUAAGGAGCCGGUCUCGAAAACCGGUAGGCCCGUUCGGGUCUCGAGGGUUCGAAUCCCUCCCUCUCCG